GAUGAACGCUGGCGGCGUGCCUAAUACAUGCAAGUCGAGCGAACAGACGAGGAGCUUGCUCCUCUGACGUUAGCGGCGGACGGGUGAGUAACACGUGGAUAACCUACCUAUAAGACUGGGAUAACUUCGGGAAACCGGAGCUAAUACCGGAUAAUAUAUUGAACCGCAUGGUUCAAUAGUGAAAGACGGUUUUGCUGUCACUUAUAGAUGGAUCCGCGCCGCAUUAGCUAGUUGGUAAGGUAACGGCUUACCAAGGCAACGAUGCGUAGCCGACCUGAGAGGAGGAGCGGCAACAGUGGCACGGAGACACGGUGCAGAAGCCGAAGGGAGGCAGAAGGAGGGAAUAUUGAGCAAGGGGCGAAAGCCUGAAGGAGCAAGGCCGAGUGAGUGAAGAAGGUCUUAGGAUCGUAAAGCACUUGAAGUGGGGAGGAAAAAAAGUAAAAGAACAGAGGCAGGUCUGGACGGGACCAAAACAGAAAGCAAAGGCUAACGUCGUG
rnacentral:rRNA from 1 species